rnacentral:rRNA from 1 species
AUACGUAGGUGGCAAGCGUUGUCCGGAUUUACUGGGUGUAAAGGGCGUGUAGGCGGAGAUGCAAGUCAGGAGUGAAAUCUAGGGGCUCAACCCCUAAACUGCUUUUGAAACUGUAUCCCUUGAGUAUCGGAGAGGCAGGCGGAAUUCCUAGUGUAGCGGUGAAAUGCGUAGAUAUUGGGAGGAACACCAGUGGCGAAGGCGACUUACUGGGUCGUAACUGACGCCGAGGCGCGAAAGCGUGGGGUGCGGACAGGAUUAGAUACCCUCGUAGUCCACGCUGUCAACGAUGAUUACUAGGUUUAGGGGGUAUCGACUGCCUCUGUGCCGCAGUUAACGCAGUUAGGAAUCCACCUGGGGAGUACGGUCGCAAGAUUAAAUCUCAAAUGAAUUGACGGGG